GGGCCCGCACAAGCGGUGGAGCAUGUGGUUUAAUUCGAUGAUACGCGAGGAACCUUACCAGGGCUUAAAUGUAGUCUGACAGGGGUGGAAACACCCCCUCCUUCGGGCAGAUUACAAGGUGCUGCAUGGUUGUCGUCAGCUCGUGCCGUGAGGUGUCAGGUUAAGUCCUAUAACGAGCGCAACCCCUGCCGUUAGUUGCCAGCAUGUAAUGAUGGGAACUCUAGCGAAACUGCCGGUGCAAACCGAGAGGAAGGUGGGGAUGACGUCAAAUCAUCACGGCCCUUACGUUCUGGCUACACACGUGCUACAAUGGUCGGUACAGAAAGCAGCCACUAUGCGAAUAGGAGCUA
rnacentral:rRNA from 1 species